UGAGAAUAAAAUUGUCUUCUUGUAGAAAGUCACUGGACUCCCUGUAAGGGCCUCCUGAUUUCAGGAAAAUAAGGAUAGUUAAAUUGCUUCAGAUAUAAUUCACACCUGUUGAAGUACCAUUACAACUGGAUUUUAUAUUCCGCUCUUCUGAGUAUUUUGUUGUGUGUCCUGGCAUCACAGAAGGGCAGCAAGUUUCUUCGGGGCUACACAAGAGUAUGAAAUCCCCUUGCUGUAACCACAAAUGAGAGAGACAGGCCUCUGCUGUGGGUCUUUCCCUUUGAAAGAAAAAUACCAAGAGCAGGCACUUCACAGAUGUCAGCUGCCACCGUCAUCCCUCCUACCAAAAAGCCUCCUCCUCAAACAGCAAGGCUCACUCCUGUUCUGUGGCACCUCUCUGAAGAGGAUAGUGAUUGCCAAAUACAGAUGAAAACAUGCAGCACUAGCACUGAUAAUCCCUGACCAUGCCUUGUAGAAUAUGACCACCUGACUUUGCUAAACUCAGAUACUGUUACAAGAUUGAGUCAUUCUCCAAUUGCCUUUUAAUUUUUUUUCUUGCAUUUACUUGUGUGACAGUUAAAAAUUCAAUAUUUAACACUAUACAGCAAGGGCACACAGUUUUUGUGUACAAUUCUCGCACUUUCAGAGACUAACAUCUCACAGUUCAGCUACUCUGAAAGGCCUCUGAACUCACAAGGAACGUAAAGUUACGGAAAUAUGCAUUAGAGGUACAAAAGUUUGUACUUUUGAUUGAGAAUGCUUUUGACAAGAUUGAACAUAGCAAAACGCUAUUCAUUCCUGAAGAAUGUUCAAUCACAAGACUAUAAAGUUUAUGUGUAAACUGUAUUAAAAUAAAAAAGCUGCAUUAAAUAUAAAUCAUGAAA